rnacentral:rRNA from 1 species
GACGAACGCUGGCGGCGUGCUUAACACAUGCAAGUCGAACGGAAAGGCCCUGCUUUUGUGGGGUGCUCGAGUGGCGAACGGGUGAGUAACACGUGAGUAACCUGCCCUUGACUUUGGGAUAACUUCAGGAAACUGGGGCUAAUACCGGAUAGGAGCUCCUGCUGCAUGGUGGGGGUUGGAAAGUUUCGGCGGUUGGGGAUGGACUCGCGGCUUAUCAGCUUGUUGGUGGGGUAGUGGCUUACCAAGGCUUUGACGGGUAGCCGGCCUGAGAGGGUGACCGGCCACAUUGGGACUGAGAUACGGGCCAGAGUCAUACGGGAGGCAGCAGUGGGGAAUAUUGCACAAUGGGCGGAAGCCGGAUGCAGCAACGCCGCGUGCGGGAUGACGGCCUUCGGGUUGUAAACCGCUUUCGCCUGUGACGAAGCGUGAGUGACGGUAAUGGGUAAAGAAGCACCGGCUAACUACGUG